ACUCAUUCAUAGCUCAGCCAGUACAGCAUUAGACUUUUUAUCUCAGGGUCUUGGGUUCGAGCCCCACAUUGGGCA